AACGAACGCUGGCGGCAUGCCUAACACAUGCAAGUCGAACGAAGCCUUCGGGCUUAGUGGCGCACGGGUGCGUAACGCGUGGGAAUCUGCCCUUGGUUCGGAAUAACAGUUAGAAAUGACUGCUAAUACCGAAUGAUGUCUUCGGACCAAAGAUUUAUCGCCCAAGGAUGAGCCCGCGUCGGAUUAGCUAGUUGGUGAGGUAAAGGCUCACCAAGGCGACGAUCCGUAGCUGGUCUGAGAGGAUGAUCAGCCACACUGGGACUGAGACACGGCCCAGACUCCUACGGGA
rnacentral:rRNA from 1 species